CGCCGCGUGAGUGAUGAAGGUCUUCGGAUCGUAAAACUCUGUUAUUAGGGAAGAACAUAUGUGUAAGUAACUGUGCACAUCUUGACGGUACCUAAUCAGAAAGCCACGGCUAACUACGUGCCAGCAGCCGCGGUAAUACGUAGGUGGCAAGCGUUAUCCGGAAUUAUUGGGCGUAAAGCGCGCGUAGGCGGUUUUUUAAGUCUGAUGUGAAAGCCCACGGCUCAACCGUGGAGGGUCAUUGGAAACUGGAAAACUUGAGUGCAGAAGAGGAAAGUGGAAUUCCAUGUGUAGCGGUGAAAUGCGCAGAGAUAUGGAGGAACACCAGUGGCGAAGGCGACUUUCUGGUCUGUAACUGACGCUGAUGUGCGAAAGCGUGGGGAUCAAACAGGAUUAGAUACCCUGGUAGUCCACGCCGUAAACGA
rnacentral:rRNA from 1 species